CACCUUUCCACGGAUUGGUGCUUUAGAAACUUGUGGAGCCAAAGUAUGCACCCAAACUCUGUGGUGAGUUGAAAUCAAAGGACAUGAUCUCUGUGAGUUUUUCUAGUCCUUUCUUGACCUCAGUUGUGCCCCUGCCCACCCCACUAUUCAAUGGCAAGAAGUUCCACACUGUAAUUUUGUGUCAUUGAUUAACCCCAGCUGCAGUGGAUACCGGAGGCUCAAGUUUCCUCAUCUCAGAGGCUUUCAAGAUCCUCAGCUUUGCUGGUCGCUUGUGUGUGUUGAGAUGGAGUGAGUGGGUAACCACGAAGACACUGAGUUUUCACAUACAGCAAGAGCAGCUGAGAUCCAGGAGGAAAGCAAUCAUGUGGCCAAAUGCAGGACGGCUGGUGGGAAUGAAGAUGAGUGAAAUGGAAAUUCCCAGAGCUGCAGGGAAAGCAGGAGUCAAACAGGGACAAAUCUUCAAAUUCUUUGCCUUAAAGCUCCAGUGGAGGCAAUGGAAAGUUUCAAAUACAGAAGGAUUCAGGCA